CAGCCUUUAUUUUCUAAAAAAACAAGCAAACCAGCUGCCCCGGACACUCGCGAUACACGGAAACUUUCUCGACCUCGGAACGUCUAAGGAAAGCCUAGGACUGGAAAUUUAUUUAACAUGCUGCAACUUUGCUAGAUCAGUGGUCGAAAUAUGCAAAUUAAAAAAACCAUGCAGCUGCCUGGGAUACUCGUGAUACACGGAAACUUUAUCUUGACGUCUGAGGAUAGCAGUAUAAUCCUAGAACUCUGCAACUUUUCUAGAUGAAACUCAUUGUUCGAAAUGUGAAAUUAGCUCGUUGAAAAAAAACAGGCGAAAAAUACUUCAAGCAGUGGAACUUGUGCACUCCAAAUGUGGAGGCUCUAUUUUCCUGAGGAAAGUCUCACGUGGAUUCCUAAAGAGCGAACAAGCACAAAAAUAAUUAACCUUGAUUACA